UGGGAGAUAGUUUAGCGGUAGAACUACCGGCUCUGGACCGGUCAACCUUGGUUCGAAUCCAGGUCUCCCAGCCA
rnacentral:tRNA from 1 species